UGGAAUUUUUAGUCUCAAGUGCCCCAGUGAGCUUUUCCUUUUGUCCAUUUUGUUUAAGGCAGUACUGACAGUGCUGGGAGUGACUGCAGGAUCAUUACAAAGAUUACUGCAUCUGGAGCACUGGAACCUGUGGAUAGGUUAACUUCAAGAACAAAGGGAAUUGUAGCAACUCUCGCUGAACCUGAGCUCACUAGGACAGCCAUUUAUGAAGUCCCAGGAGCAGAGGCAGUCUGUUUGCACAUGAAGACACACAGACACCAACCUAGGGGGAAUUUGUACUUUCAGAGGCUGAAUUUGU